UGGAAGCAGUGCCUUCAUUUAUGGGAAGUUUUUUUACUCUUGCACAUGUUGGGGAGAUGGAAGUAGUAUAAUACAGCAGGCUAUUGAUAAGAGCAGAGCCACAUGAGGCUGCACAACCUGUAUUCACAAACAAACAGGUGCUGUGUGAAGAAACAUCAUUCUGAAAGAGAGCAGCUCAUACAAGCUUCAUUCAAGAUUUCAAGAAGAUUUGUAAUACUUCCUAUAUGUGGCUUUUAUUUUUGAAUGCGUCGUAUUUCCGGUCCUCGCUAAGUGCCGCCACCUUGACGCGGCUGCGGGUCUGGUGGACGUUUGCUGUGUGAUGAGGACGCGACGGGCUGGCGGGGCGGAGCUACACACAGAGGAGCGACAGAUGAUCCCAAAUGGAAGAAGAAGAGAUGACUUCACUGAAACUUCACUGACUGUCCUGAAAGACAAAAACAGAACAAACAUAAAACUAUGCUGAGUGCAGUUUUUAGCUAUUAAAACAAAACUAUUAAAGAUUAUUAACAGAC